AAACUGACACGCGGGAGCUUGGACCCACCAGGCUGAGAGUGCGCAUGUCGACGGUACGCCAGGCGAGCGACAGGCUGACCGUCGAGGGGGCGCUGACCGCCGGAACCUGUCCGGGUAAUGCCGGCGUAGGGAGUAUCGGCCAUGCCGCC
rnacentral:ncRNA from 1 species